rnacentral:rRNA from 1 species
UCGACCGAGUCCCCGGAACAG